AACGAACGCUGGCGGCGUGCCUAAUACAUGCAAGUCGCGCGAGAAAAGGGGGGCAACUCCCUGAGUAAAGCGGCGCACGGGUGAGUAAUGCGUAGGUAAUCUACCCUUGAGUCCAGGAUAACCUACCGAAAGGUGGGCUAAUACCGGAUAUGACCACGGGGAUCUCGGUCCCUGAGGUGAAAGGUGGCCUCUGUUUACAUGCUACCGCUCAUCGAUGAGCCUGCGCGCCAUUAGCUAGUUGGCGGGGUAACGGCCCACCAAGGCGAUGAUGGCUAGCUGGUCUGAGAGGAUGACCAGCCACACUGGGACUGAAACACGGCCCAGACUCCUACGGGUGGCUG
rnacentral:rRNA from 1 species